GCCUUGGUAGCUCAAUGGAUAGAGCAAGGGUCUUCUAAGCCCAAGAUGAAGGUCCGAUUCCUUCCCAAGGCA
rfam:Parcubacteria (Thrbacteria) bacterium GW2011_GWF2_41_16 TT48_C0003, whole genome shotgun sequence.